rnacentral:rRNA from 1 species
UCUGGUUGAUCCUGCCAGUAGUCAUAUGCUUGUCUCAAAGAUUAAGCCAUGCAUGUCUAAGUAUAAGCAAUUUAUACAGUGAAACUGCGAAUGGCUCAUUAAAUCAGUUAUCGUUUAUUUGAUAGUUCCUUUACUACAUGGUAUAACUGUGGUAAUUCUAGAGCUAAUACAUGCUUAAAAUCUCGACCUUUGGAAGAGAUGUAUUUAUUAGAUAAAAAAUCAAUGUCUUCGGACUCUUUGAUGAUUCAUAAUAACUUUUCGAAUCGCAUGGCCUUGUGCUGGCGAUGGUUCAUUCAAAUUUCUGCCCUAUCAACUUUCGAUGGUAGGAUAGUGGCCUACCAUGGUUUCAACGGGUAACGGGGAAUAAGGGUUCGAUUCCGGAGAGGGAGCCUGAGAAACGGCUACCACAUCCAAGGAAGGCAGCAGGCGCGCAAAUUACCCAAUCCUAAUACAGGGAGGUAGUGACAAUAAAUAACGAUACAGGGCCCAUUCGGGUCUUGUAAUUGGAAUGAGUACAAUGUAAAUACCUUAACGAGGAACAAUUGGAGGGCAAGUCUGGUGCCAGCAGCCGCGGUAAUUCCAGCUCCAAUAGCGUAUAUUAAAGUUGUUGCAGUUAAAAAGCUCGUAGUUGAACUUUGGGCCUGGUUGGCCGGUCCGAUUUUUUCGUGUACUGGUUUCCAACCGGGCCUUUCCUUCUGGCUAACCUUGGGUCCUUGUGGCCCUUGGCGAACCAGGACUUUUACUUUGAAAAAAUUAGAGUGUUCAAAGCAGGCGUAUUGCUCGAAUAUAUUAGCAUGGAAUAAUAGAAUAGGACGUUUGGUUCUAUUUUGUUGGUUUCUAGGACCAUCGUAAUGAUUAAUAGGGACGGUCGGGGGCAUCAGUAUUCAAUUGUCAGAGGUGAAAUUCUUGGAUUUAUUGAAGACUAACUACUGCGAAAGCAUUUGCCAAGGACGUUUUCAUUAAUCAAGAACGAAGUUAGGGGAUCGAAGAUGAUCAGAUACCGUCGUCGUCUUAACCAUAAACUAUGCCGACUAGGGAUCGGGUGGUGUUUUUUACUGACCACUCGCACCUUACGAGAAAUCAAAGUCUUUGGGUUCUGGGGGGGAGUAGGUCCGCAAGGCUGAAACUUAAAGGAAUUGACGGAAGGGCACCACCAGGAGUGGAGCCGGCGGCUUAUUGACUCAACCGGGAAACUCACCAGGUCCAGACCACAAUAAGGAUUGACAGAUUGAGAGCUCUUUCUUGAUUUUGUGGGUGGUGGUGCAUGGCCGUUCUUAGUUGGUUGAGUGAUUUGUCUGGCUUAAAUUCUGCGAUAAACGAAACGAUACCUUAACCUCCUAAAUAGUGUGGCUAGCAAUUUGGCUGGUUAUCCACUUCUAGCGGGACUAUCGGUUUCAAGCCGUGGAAAGUUUGACGGCCAAUAA